GGAAAACGAUCUCAUCAUCAACGAUUUGAGAAAUAGUCAAGCUAGAUCAACUUGGCACAUAGUAUAUCUAUUAGAAAACGAUCUCAUCAUCAACGAUUUAACACGACCAAAUAAGAGGUCUAACAUAAUCAUUCCAACUCAGGCCAGACAAUUCGGUAUUCGAGUCAUAUAUAAAUUAUCUCACACAUCCUUCAGUUUAAAUAUAAAAUAA
rnacentral:lncRNA from 1 species